GAUGAACGCUAGCGGGAGGCUUAACACAUGCAAGUCGAGGGGCAGCAUAGGGUAGCAAUACUCUGAUGGCGACCGGCAAACGGGUGAGUAACGCGUAUGUAACCUACCCUGUACAGGGGGAUAACCCGGAGAAAUUCGGACUAAUAUCCCAUAACAAUAUCCGGGGGCAUCUUUGGAUAUUUAAAGUUCCGGCGGUACGGGAUGGGCAUGCGUAACAUUAGCUAGUUGGUAAGGUAACGGCUUACCAAGGCUUUGAUGUUUAGGGGUCCUGAGAGGGUGGUCCCCCACACUGGUACUGAGACACGGACCAGACUCCUACGGGAGGCAGCAGUGAGGAAUAUUGGUCAAUGGGCGCAAGCCUGAACCAGCCAUCCCGCGUGCAGGAAGACGGCGCUAUGCGUUGUAAACUGCUUUUCCAGGGAGAGAAACUUGCGCACGUGUUGCGCAAUUGACGGUACCCUGGGAAUAAGCAUCGGCUAACUCCGUGCCAGCAGCCGCGGUAAACGUAGCGU
rnacentral:rRNA from 1 species